CCGGGGCAAGGCGGUGCAGCAGCUGGGACCCCGCGGAGGGCAGCGGGGCUCACGGCCCGGCGCCCCCACAGGGUUCGCCGCGCGCCGCCCGGUGCACUCUGGGAGUUGUAGGCCGCGGGCAUUGUGGGAAUUGUAGGCCGCGGGCAUUCUGGGAGCUGUCGUAAAAGCUCGCUCUUCGGGCGCGAUGGCGGCCGCUGAGGCGGGAGUCGGGGUGCUGCGGCCGCGGCGGGCUCGGGGGGCUCUCGGUGCGGUCGGGAGGCCGCCCACAACCCCCAAGCUGCCGAGGGCCCGCCGUGCGGGUCCAGGGAACGCGCGGCGUACUGACGGGUCACGGCAGGAAUCGGGACCUCAGGAUGCGGCCGGCUGGCCCCGCAGAUAGCAGUACCCUCAGACAUGGAGUGCAUCUCCACCCACUCACUCCACCUUUCUGGAGGACAAGUUGCCUGAAAGAGGAAGAGUUUUUGAAUUUUUUCAUGCCUUUCAAUGAAUGUUAUUUUCUGCUUCUUCUUACAUUAUCUCUGCUUUGCUGGGCCUUGUAUCUUGAAGACAAUUUAUUAGUUAUAGGAUUUUUACAGGCAAGGCACAACAUACCAAUGGUUACAUCAGAAGGUUAUAUCUAGAUUUAAAAAUAUUGCUUCAUUUCCUGUUGGAAAUAAAACAUUAUCAUAUGAGUAUAUUCCA
rnacentral:lncRNA from 1 species